UCCAGACUCCUACGGGAGGCAGCAGUGGGGAAUAUUGGGCAAUGGGCGCAAGCCUGACCCAGCAACGCCGCGUGAAGGAAGAAGGCUUUCGGGUUGUAAACUUCUUUUAAGAGGGAAGAGCAGAAGACGGUACCUCUUGAAUAAGCCACGGCUAACUACGUGCCAGCAGCCGCGGUAAUACGUAGGUGGCAAGCGUUGUCCGGAUUUACUGGGUGUAAAGGGCAUGUAGCCGGGCCGGCAAAUCAGAUGUGAAAUCCCAAGGCUCAACCUUGGAACUGCAUUUGAAACUGUUGGUCUUGAGUAUCGGGGAGGCAGGCGGAAUUCCUAGUGUAGCGGUGAAAUGCGUAGAUAUUAGGAGGAACACCAGUGGCGAAGGGGGCCUGCUGGGCUUUUACUGACGCUGAGGCUCGAAAGUGUGGGGAGCAAACAGGAUUAGAUACCCCGGUGCG
rnacentral:rRNA from 1 species